UGGGGAAUAUUGCACAAUGGGGGGAACCCUGAUGCAGCCAUGCCGCGUGAAUGCAGAAGGCCUUCGGGUUGUAAAGUUCUUUCGGUGACGAGGAAGGUUGAUAGGUUAAUAGCCUAUCAAAUUGACGUUAAUCACAGAAGAAGCACCGGCUAACUCCGUGCCAGCAGCCGCGGUAAUACGGGGGGUGCGAGCGUUAAUCGGAAUAACUGGGCGUAAAGGGCACGCAGGCGGUGACUUAAGUGAGAUGUGAAAGCCCCGAGCUUAACUUGGGAAUUGCAUUUCAUACUGGGUCGCUAGAGUACUUUAGGGAGGGGUAGAAUUCCACGUGUAGCGGUGAAAUGCGUAGAGAUGUGGAGGAAUACCGAAGGCGAAGGCAGCCCCUUGGGAAUGUACUGACGCUCAUGUGCGAAAGCGUGGGGAGCAAACANGAUUUAGAUACCCUGGUAGUCCACGCUGUAAACGAUGUCGANUUGGGGAUUGGGCUUUGAGCUUGGUGCCCGUAGCUAACGUGANNNAUCGACCCGCCCUGGGGGAGUACGNNCNNNNNGUU
rnacentral:rRNA from 1 species